UACAUUCAGUAAACUAAUUGGUCUGUAAUUAGUAAAAUUCGUUCUAAGCCAAUUUCCUUAAUACAACGGCGUUACUAAUGCAGUUUUGGAUGAAUCCGGAAUAAGCUAUUCUAUUAUAAUUUGAUUAAAGAUUAUUUCUAGUAUACUAGACACAAAGUCUUAACAUUUUUUAAUAACAUUAAUUGAUGUGCCAACUAUACCUGACGCUGUGUCAUUUUUCAUAUUAGAAAUUAUUCUGCAUAUUUCUGAUUUAGUUGUUUUCCAUGAAAAUAGCG